rnacentral:rRNA from 1 species
CUGAAUCAGUGUGUGUGUUAGUGGAAGCGUCUGGAAAGGCGUGCGAUACAGGGUGACAGCCCCGUACACAAAAAUGCACAUACUGUGAGCUCGAUGAGUAGGGCGGGACACGUGGUAUCCUGUCUGAAUAUGGGGGGACCAUCCUCCAAGGCUAAAUACUCCUGACUGACCGAUAGUGAACCAGUACCGUGAGGGAAAGGCGAAAAGAACCCCGGCGAGGGGAGUGAAAAAGAACCUGAAACCGUGUACGUACAAGCAGUGGGAGCCUCUUUAUGGGGUGACUGCGUACCUUUUGUAUAAUGGGUCAGCGACUUAUAUUCUGUAGCAAGGUUAACCGAAUAGGGGAGCCGAAGGGAAACCGAGUCUUAACUGGGCGUUAAGUUGCAGGGUAUAGACCCGAAACCCGGUGAUCUAGCCAUGGGCAGGUUGAAGGUUGGGUAACACUAACUGGAGGACCGAACCGACUAAUGUUGAAAAAUUAGCGGAUGACUUGUGGCUGGGGGUGAAAGGCCAAUCAAACCGGGAGAUAGCUGGUUCUCCCCGAAAGCUAUUUAGGUAGCGCCUCGUGAAUUCAUCUCCGGGGGUAGAGCACUGUUUCGGCAAGGGGGUCAUCCCGACUUACCAACCCGAUGCAAACUGCGAAUACCGGAGAAUGUUAUCACGGGAGACACACGGCGGGUGCUAACGUCCGUCGUGAAGAGGGAAACAACCCAGACCGCCAGCUAAGGUCCCAAAGUCAUGGUUAAGUGGGAAACGAUGUGGGAAGGCCCAGACAGCCAGGAUGUUGGCUUAGAAGCAGCCAUCAUUUAAAGAAAGCGUAAUAGCUCACUGGUCGAGUCGGCCUGCGCGGAAGAUGUAACGGGGCUAAACCAUGCACCGAAGCUGCGGCAG